UUGACACCGUUUCGUGUACGAUCACCGAAGUUAAACUAACACUGAGCCUGGUGAGUAACUAGAUGGGUGACCGCUUGGGAAUACCAGGUGCUGUAAG